rnacentral:rRNA from 1 species
UUGACCUCGGAUCAGGUAGGGAUACCCGCUGAACUUAAGCAUAUCAAUAAGCGGAGGAAAAGAAACCAACAGGGAUUGCCCCAGUAACGGCGAGUGAAGCGGCAAGAGCUCAAAUUUGAAAGCUGGCUCCUUCGGGGUCCGCAUUGUAAUUUGCAGAGGAUGCUUCGGGAGCGGUCCCCAUCUAAGUGCCCUGGAACGGGACGUCAUAGAGGGUGAGAAUCCCGUAUGGGAUGGGGUGUCCGCGCCCAUGUGAAGCUCCUUCGACGAGUCGAGUUGUUUGGGAAUGCAGCUCUAAAUGGGUGGUAAAUUUCAUCUAAAGCUAAAUAUUGGCCGGAGACCGAUAGCGCACAAGUAGAGUGAUCGAAAGAUGAAAAGCACUUUGAAAAGAGAGUUAAAAAGCACGUGAAAUUGUUGAAAGGGAAGCGCUUGCGACCAGACUCGCUCGUGGGGUUCAGCCGGCAUUCGUGCCGGUGUACUUCCCCGCGAGCGGGCCAGCGUCGGUUUGGGCGGUCAGUCAAAGGCCUCUGGAAGGUAACGCCCCCUCGGGGGCGUCUUAUAGCCAGGGGUGCAAUGUGGCCUGCCCGGACCGAGGAACGCGCUUCGGCUCGGACGCUGGCAUAAUGGUCGUAAGCGACC